rnacentral:lncRNA from 1 species
UCAGGAAUUCGUGAGGAUGCUCCAAGAGUAACAGUUACCUGAUUGAAAAUUUCUCUAAAUGGCUCUUGGUAACUGUCUUUUACCUUCCCUUUUUCUCUUCUAUUUUCUCUUCUUGGUUCUUCUAUUCAUUAACCUCAUGAUCAUGCAUUCUUUCCUCAUCUUCAUCAUCACUGCUCCCAAUUUCAAUUAUCUCCUUUGCUGACUUCCUUUUUCUCCUUGUCAUAACCACUUUGCAUUCAUCCUUAGGGUUAACAUCAGUAUUAGUCCUAAACUGAUUUUUUUCUAUGGUUUCUAUUCUUUUUGACAACUGCCCAAUUUGUGUUUCC